rnacentral:rRNA from 1 species
AUUGAACGCUGGCGGCAGGCCUAACACAUGCAAGUCGAGCGAGCGGCGGACGGGUGAGUAAUGUCUGGGUAACUGCCUGAUGGCGGGGGCUAACUACUGGAAACGGUAGUCAAUACCGCAUACCAUCAGAUGUGCCCAGGUGGGACUAGCUAGUGGGUGGGGUAACGUCUCACCUAGGCGACGAUCCCUAGCUGGUCUGAGAGGAGGACCAGCCACACUGGAACUGAGACACGGUCCAGACGCCUACGGGAGGCAGCAGUGGGGAAUAUUGGACAAUGGGCGCAAGCCUGAUGCAGCCAGGCCGCGGGUGUGAAGAAGGCCUUCGGGUUGUAAAGCACUUUCAGCGGGGAGGCGUUACCCGCAGAAGAAGCACCGGCUAACUCCGUGCCAGCAGCCGCGGUAAUUC